UUGAUGAGUAGUUAUAUUGACAGUUAUUUGAGAUAUUGUCAACGUUUAAUGUUAUGAUUUGUUAUUCUUUAUUGUUAGUAAAUUUGUAUCUAACCAAAAUGAGCAUAAUCUCAACCCUAUUGUACACUGCAUCUAAUGAAUUGUCUCUUAAUAACAGAACAGUACCGGCAGCCUAGCAAACAAUAUUUUUUCAGUUGAGGACCAAGUACAGUACUCUGAGGCGAUGUGCACUCUACUGAGCAAGAAUCAAUGAAAUAGUCACCUAUUUGUGUGCACGCUGGCUUCUAUUUUAUAAAUAUGAGGUAAAAAGAUUGUGUGGUAUGCCUCUUAUACCAAGACGGUGAAACUCUUGGAGCAGAAUAGGAUGUGAUACAGUGUGCAAGGCUUUGUGAGAUCUAGAAACAGAAUUGAAAUUGAUGGUCAAAUGUCAGAGGCUCUUGAAGUCACAUGCGGCGUUCCACAAGGCAGUAUUCUGGGCCCUCUUCUUUUUACAAUACACACGUGCCGAUUUUACUUAGUACUGCGACAUUCCCAUGAAUUAAAAAACUCCUUUGUGACUCGCUAGUUUUAUCUCAAUGUAAUUAUUGUGAUGUUGGCGCUUGGACUAUGAGGAUAAGAGAAGAAUACAAAAGCUACAAAAUUCAUGUAUUCAUUUUUAUAUUCGACUUAUUUUUGGUAUUUGCACGAAAUCAUGUAUCUAAAACAUUAAACUAAAACAUUAAACUCAAAUUGAAACAGUAAUUAAUAAUUUUUAAAGUACUGUCAAUUUAUUCCUCUUUUUUUCCUAAUUUGUAAUUUUUUUUUGUAAAAUCAUAAAAUUACCUAUAAUGUAAAUGUAAAUUUUAACCUGUAUUUUUUUUGCUGAGUUCUGUACAAUUUAAGCAUAAAUUUACAUUAAGUAACUCCACUUUAAUUGUUUCCGUAACCAUUAGUGUCUUUUCCUAGUUUAAUGUGUUAUACCGGCAAUAUAGUUGACCUUUUGUACAUAGCGUCCUA